AAGAAAUUAGUUUAUAAAAAAACAUUAACUUGUCAGGAUAAAAAAAUAUUUUUAAAAUAUAUUUCUUA
rnacentral:tRNA from 1 species